GUCGAGCGGCGGACGGGUGAGUAAUGCCUAGGUAUCUGCCCAGUCGAGGGGGAUAACAGUUGGAAACGACUGCUAAUACCGCAUACGCCCUACGGGGGAAAGGAGGGGACCUUCGGGCCUUUCGCGAUUGGAUGAACCUAGGUGGGAUUAGCUAGUAGGUGGGGUAAUGGCUCACCUAGGCAACGAUCCCUAGCUGGUCUGAGAGGAUGAUCAGCCACACUGGAACUGAGACACGGUCCAGACUCCUACGGGAGGCAGCAGUGGGGAAUAUUGCACAAUGGGCGAAAGCCUGAUGCAGCCAUGCCGCGUGUAUGAAGAAGGCCUUCGGGUUGUAAAGUACUUUCAGCGAGGAGGAAAGGUAAGUAGUUAAUAACUGCUUACUGUGACGUUACUCGCAGAAGAAGCACCGGCUAACUUCGUGCCAGCAGCCGCGGUAAUACGAGGGGUGCAAGCGUUAAUCGGAAUUACUGGGCGUAAAGCGUACGCAGGCGGUUUGUUAAGCAAGAUGUGAAAGCCCCGGGCUCAACCUGGGAACUGCAUUUUGAACUGGCAAACUAGAGUCUUGUAGAGGGGGGUAGAAUUUCAGGUGUAGCGGUGAAAUGCGUAGAGAUCUGAAGGAAUACCGGUGGCGA
rnacentral:rRNA from 1 species